rnacentral:lncRNA from 1 species
AGCAAGAAACCAGAUCUUGGAUACGCUUCACCAACACACACAACAAACAAAAGCUUUUGCUUAGGAGCAAAUGAAACCAACAGAGUAUGUGCUCAGAAGGGCGCAGCACGCUUCUUUGCAGGUACCUGUUCCAGGGUCACUCCAGCACUUGUUCUACGCCACCAUCUAGGUCCUAAGGUGUGCUGCAGUACUGCUUUACCUCUCUCCAUCUCUGCAUUUCAAACCAUCAGCCUGGGUUGGUCUCCAAAUUUCUCUGCCUCCUGGAACAGCUUCCUCUUUGAGUGCUGCUCUGCUGUCCAUUUCCCUAGGCAAAGCACUGCCAGACCCCUCCUGUUGCCCACCCAGGGAUGCUUCAGCACCUCUCUUCCCAAUAGAGGAACCAGAACUCGUUUCAGUGCUCAGCAAGCCAGAGCAGCCAAGUGGCAGGGCUUACCUCUCCCUCCUCACUCAGAAGGUUAUGCAGUGAGCUGUAUCAAGAAGCUGACCCAGCAGAAAGCCACAGCCACCCAAAAUACUAGUAUGUGCAUGAGUCUAGGGCUAGAAAAUAAACAGCAAAGAGAAGGGUUGCUUCUCAAAGAAGCAUCCUGAGCUUAUGGCAACUCAAAAAGCAGCCCCAGAACCACAGCACAGGUGAUGAUGCAGCUAAGCCAGUUAAAUGACUUUUGCCAAGGAAGCAGACAUGGUUCCUUCUCCCCUUCCAGCUCCUGUGAUCCCCUCUGUUUUGAGUAACACAUGGAAAAGAGAGGGAAUAAACUUUUCUUUUUCCUUGAUCAUCUUUCAGCUGCAGUCAGAGGUGCGCUGCUGUCACACAAGGGACAUUUCCAGGCUUUUCUUACCACUAAACUCAUUUACUCAUUUUACAGCCAGAAGGGACUGAUCCUCAACAACUGAAACCAAGCUAACCAAGUGCUGUGAUCCAGUUCUGCAGCACUGGUGUUUGGCUGUGUGCCUUGGAAAGCUAAUCUGUCUCAAAACUAACAAUGCCAAAAAAAAGCAGGGAAGGGAAGGGCUAAGGUCACUUCCUUAGUCAUUCACGUAAGCACUGCUGUAUGCCAAGAAAGGUGGCAGAGGAAAAGAAGUGCAGCAGCACGCAUCCCAGCUUGGGUACUAAAACUGAACUGUGAAGGCAAACCUCUUCAGUGAAACCGCCAGCUGCCUCUGACGGGCAGGCUCACUCCUUCCCACGCAGUUCCACCUCUUUGCUCAGGAUGGCUCUUACACUUCUCUGAUCAUACCUGCUAUUUGCUUCGUUUGGGUGGUUUUGGUUCAGCUCACAAAGACGAUUUGUCUCUCUGAAGGGCUAGAGAAGUACUGAUGCUGACAGCUUGGAAUCAGCAGCAGCCCGUAGGCAGGACAAGGAGUGGCAACCAGGUCUGCCCACUUUGGCAGCAGCUGAACACUGGAUUAGCUCAGGCACCUCACACAACUAUUUUUCCCUUGUUGCUUCACAAGAGAGGAUGACCAAUGAGCUCACCAUGCACAGAGAUGAAGUCCUACUCCCCCUUUGGCAUCUCACGCAGCCUCCUAGAGCCAUUCUUCUCCCUUGAGAGUACUCCAGACUUCAGUAGGCACUUCCUUGUGCCAACCCAGCUGAUUCAUCCACCCAGUGGAGUGUUAAUCCUAAAAGCAGGGACUUUUCUACUGCAUGAGUGAGUUGAAUCAGCUCAUGGUAGAGUAUGAAAAUUACCCACAAGAUAAGGAGAGCCAGACCUCCUCCUCUCACCCAUAAUCGCCUCUAUUGGUUCAGAUGCCCACGUAACCAAGGCCCCAAUAGCAGCUGAGAUGAAACAAGCUUCUGGCUUCUCUUACCUCCCUUAAGAAAACAAAAACAGACCUUCAAAUAGGCUAAAGACUGUCUCAAACAACAGGCAAGUCUCAAAUAACAGACUUUAAAACUCAAUCAGAUUUAAAGCAGAUAAUUAAAUAGUAAAACAGUCACAAGAUACAGAUCUCUAACCUGGCUUAUGAGCUACUUCUAGCUCUUUAUGGUGGCCUGCACUGUCCUAGAUAGCUUCCAGAUGUUUGGUGUGCCCCUGUCGUAGCACAGGCCACAGCUCCUUUCUCCUCUCCUUCCUUUCCAAACACCUCGUUUCUGCGCAACUCUGCAAAGUUGAGCUGCAUAUUGAGUUGUGUCCGUCAGACACAACCCUGACAUCAAACAAACAAAAAAUUAUUAAAAUCAAUAGGAAGGAGAGACUACAAAGCUCCAAACUGCUAUUUAGAGAGCAAAGGGAUUUCACAUAUCAAUAUGAGCAGGGACAAGAAAGUAAAAUAACCUUUGAAAGUGUUCAAACUGGCUACUUGCCUUUGGGAACAGCAAUACUUUAAAAAUGGCUUUUUAACUCUUUUGAAGAUGAUUCAGCUUCAAUGCUUAAAUAAACAAACACUGCUGUAAAUGAUUUACAACAAUGCAUCUUAAGGCAAUAAUGCAACUUCUCAUUUCUAUAUAAAACUCAGAAGAUUUGCUAACUGGAAGGAGCUUGCAGCUUUACCACUUUGCAUUUAGUGUAACAGUACCCAACUGCUAACUCUACAGGCUUUAAAAACAAAUAAAAUUUCUUUCCAAACAAAAUUAAACUACACAAGGCUGUAGAAAAUCUAUUAGUGCUCUGGAUGAUCACAACAAACUACAGUGAAACUAAGAUACAGCACCUAAUACCUGCACUUUUAGGGAUCAAAGCAUCAUCCAUGGCUUCUCAAGGCAAGAGGUAAGUAGCACAGGUCAUGAUCCUGUAAAAAAAAGUUCUCAAAACUAUCGUGAAUCAUUAAUUCCAGCUCCAGCAGGAUGAAAACUUGUUUAGUUAACAACUAUUAUUAUACUCUUGUAGAGAAGAAGGGCAACAGGCUCUUGCCAUGCACGUUGCCAGCUAAUAACAGCUGUCCCAGGACAAAGUGCAGUGGCACUGGAAACAUUUCACAAGGAGGACAGAAACCAAAGCCAAUUCUAUUACUUCAUUUGAGAAUAUCCUAGGCAAGUUAAACAGCUGACUUUCUCGAGCAAAGUAAGCUGUCAGGAGAGUGAGAUCAUCCAGCAAUCCUACUUUCUCUCAUCUUCCCCUAGAAAGCACUUGGAGAUAUCCUUGGUUUAUAGGCAGCAGCUAUUUGCUGUAAUCAGAAGGCAAGUAAAAGCUCAUUACCCAAGAAACUCUGAGGACUGCUGAACUAACACAUUGAAGAAGAGAGGAAGACAGACCCGUUCGUGGGAGAUGCAGUAACACUGAUCACACGCAGACAUGUAGAUGGAGUACAACUGGCAAGUUAUGAUGGCGACAAGAAGCCUAACCAUUGCGAAACUGGUCUUUCAGGCAUGCUGAAGUUUUGUAACAGUCUCUGAUGGGAAGGACUAAACAUACUCUACUAACGGAAAACCCUAUUUAAUGUAUUUUAAAUACUCUGGGGAAGAAAAUCCAUCCCUAGCAUUAGAGAGGUCUUAUGUAUGAGUUUAUUCCCAUAUGGUAUUUAUUCCCAUCACCAGCAAUAGAAAUGUAAAGGAGAUUUCACCACCGUAUAGAAAAACUUGUAAGAAAAAUAAAACUUCCAGCCACUAACUGCAAAACCUGGCAAUACUCAUGUGCUCUGUUUGCCCUGGCUCAGAUCAAAGUCCACCUCAACUUCAAUUGGUGGCCAAGCGUAGAUGGCGUGCUCAUCAGCUCUUUGCUGCACGACUCCUACAGGCACCCAAACUGAAAACGAUGUUAUCAGCCACCCAGGCAAAGGUCUCAUGAGAAAACCCCUCAGCAGAACGCCCCAUGUGUGCUCCUGAAUGCAUUUGCAAACUCAUAUAAUGUUUUGGAAAUAUCCAGACCAGAAGACCUAUGGAUUAACAGCAGUCAAUGUUCCUUAGUACUUGUAUAUUUCUCUUAAAGAUACCAACAGCUGCUGUCCCACUGAUAGAAUGCAAAAACCAUACCGAUUUUUAACCGGGUUGUUUGAGGGCCUGAAAGACAGUCACAGUAUUUCAGGUCUCUCCCAUAACCAAAA